UCGCCUCGUUGAACCAGAGCCUUCGCGACAUUUCAAUUUAUUAUUUACUGUCGAAGGCUCUGGAAUCCAGGGUAGGAAAUUUCUGGACAAGAAAUAAACACUUAAAAGCCAUUUUAUCAUUAUAUUAAUAUCGAUUUAUACUUGUAUAUUAAAAGUUCACGUUAUGUACUAUUUAAAACACGAGUAGGAGUGUGUUUUAUCAGAUAUAAAACGCGAGGCGCACAACUUAAAAUACGAGUACAAAAGAAUACUAAUUAGGGCGAACAAUUAUAUUAGAAUACUGACAAUAUAAUUAUAUAAGAAUACUGUGUUUUAUUAGCCUGACUGUUCCAGUCCACUACACCAUGGUGUGGCGCAAGGUAUAUAAAUUAUUAAUGAGUAUUUUAAGUCAUUUUGAAACGUUCUUUAUGUUUGUUAUACUUUUAAAUUAUACCGCCAAAUGUAUUUGUGUCAUUUCCCUAUCACCUGACAUAUAGAGUGCACCAGAAACCAAAUACUUCAGUAAUACAAUUUCAUCCCGGGGGUGGGGAAUUUUGCCCAGGAAUGUUCUCUCGAGGGAGUGGCAUUUAACAUUUUUUUUGUAAAAAUGUCAAAUCCCCACCCCUUGCCCGACCCCCCCUCCCUCGGGAUUAACAUUGAUAGGUGCAUUAUAAUGAAAGUUUAGGCUCCUAAAAUAACUGCGCCAAAUAUUCAAAGGCUAAUUCAAGAUUGCUGAACUCAGUCAUAGAUGCUGUUUAAUAAUUGAUUACAUGCAAAUCACUGCUAAAAAUACUACAGUAUAUACCCCAUUUACUGUAUAAAUAUUAUAGAACCCUUGUCUUUGCCCUUGGCAGGCAAAACGUGCAAGUUAUGUUUACGCAAUAUAUUUCUGAUCUGCACUGUUGUGUUAUGCCUGACUCAGGGAGGACAGGCAUACCUAGGGGAAUUUGACAGUUUCAAUUUUGCUACUGUAUGUAUGCCAAUAAGCUCCACUGCAGAGCACCACUUUUUAGUCAAAUCUUUGUCAAAUUUUCCCCUAUUAAGAAAUUUCAAGUUGCGAGAACUCAAGUCAAUUCCUGUGUAUGCCAUCCUUCCCCAGGCGGACAAAAUAUUGCUUCGUGCAUUAUUCCAAAGUGCAUAUCACAAUCACAAAACUCUUCACAGCCUAGGUUAACAAGGCAAGGAUUAAGUGUCUAUUGUACUAUAGUAUACCUAGUGCUGUAUUUCAUAUAUGGAGGCAGAUCAGCCCGGGUAUCCAAGCAAGUAACAAGGCACCCAGACUGGCCACAGCCUACUACAGUUGAGAUAGGCCAUUACGCUUGGUCAGUUCAGUUCUCAUGUUAUCGCAAGAUUAAAUUGGACAAUUGACAAGAAAUAAUACCAAAGGUGGUGUCUCUCCAAAACCAGACCAGCUCGGGUACCCUGGCUUCUCUUUCUUGCUUGCGAAAUGUGAAUUUACUUUUUGUGUUAAAUUUCUUGAGGCACUAUUAAAGCUGCAUGUGUACAGUGUAAAAUAGCAUAGUAAGUGCACCAGGAGGGAUUGUGGCUUUAACAUAUAUCUCAUUUUUUAUAGGAUUAUGUUAGUCAUAAACUGAAAGCAUUGAAUGCUUAUGAGAGUAAUCUAGCAUACGUUUGAUGAAAGGUACAGUACCUUUGUGUACUAACAUUAUAUUUAUGAAACACCACAAUGACCACAUUCAUACAAGUUAACUUGUUGCUUGUGAUGUUACUCUGAGUGUAUAUCCACACCGGGCAAGCUUGAAAAAUAUGCCUGACCAUGGUGGGAAUCGAACCUACGACCUUUGGAAUACUAGCCCAAUGCUCUGCCAACUGAGCUACGCGGUCUGGUCGGUUCGAGUAUGUGAUAUUUCGGAACAGAAUCUAGUUCCUUCGAUAUCAAUGUAAUCUAGUAAUAAUGAUAUUUUCUGUGUUGGUGCAAGCCAACAAGUACAACCGCGUAGCUCAGUUGGCAGAGCAUUGGGCUAGCAUUCCAAAGGUCGUAGGUUCGAUUCCCACUGUGGUCAGGCAUAUUUUUCAAGCUUGCCCGGUGUGGAUAUACACUCAGAGUAACAUCACAAGCAUCUUAUUCACCUGAGUACAUUGCACCAACACAGAAAAUAUCAAGUUAACUUGUAUUUGCAGGCCAGGCCCGUAGCUAGACUGAUCAUUGGGGGUGUAUAUUCAUAUAUUCGUGUUCUGCCUGAGGGAUUUCUUUUGAAAGUAAUUGUUAAUGUUGUUACACUACAUGAACAUGAAUAUAUGAAUAUACAACCCCCCACCCCCACCCCUCCAAUUAUCGGUUCUAGCUACGCCGCUGUUGCAGACGUACACUUACGAAACAUGAGUCAUCUUAUACAGCUAUACUAAAUAUUCUGUUUUAAUUUUAGUGUUGACUCUCAACACAACAUCAUGCUGUGUUCCAAGGUUUCCAAGGAACUGGCUCAUGAGUAUGGAGGGCCACAACUGUUUUAAUAAAAGGUAUGGUGUACACAGUAUUUAUGGUAUUUGUAAUUGUCUUGCCCAAGGCCAAAAAAAAUAUGUGGGUUUCCGGUUUCUUCUUAUAAAAACUUAGGUAGGGUAGGUCGG